UUCGCCUGUGGGUCAUGAGCCUUUCCACAGUGAGGUGGAGCAUGAAGACCUCCAUGGGUGACAGGCCUUGCAAGCGCUGUGUUCGAGACAGACCUGUGUAUGUCCUUGAAUCACUUGUCACGCUGGGGAUGAAAGUCCAGGAUCUCAGAGGUCAACCCCGGAAGGAGCCAUCGACAGCUGCCAGCCCAGCCUCCAGGUCUUGAACCCCACAGGCCCAUUGCGCACCCCACGUUCCCAGCACCCCACCCUGUGCUGAUGGACCCGGUGGCUAGCUGAUCCUGCCACUCAGCCUGGCUACCACCUCUGCCCAUCUAACCUGCUUGCCUGGGAGCCCCUGUGCCUGCCACGUGUGGCCUGGGCAGCGAUCCCAUGCCCUCUCGAGCUGCCCUCUCUGUCCUCUGUCCCCUGCCUGGGUGUGUGACACCACAGC